rnacentral:rRNA from 1 species
ACCGGCGCACGGGUGCGUAACGCGUAUACAAUCUACCUUUUACAGGGGGAUAGCCCAGAGAAAUUUGGAUUAAUACCUCAUAGUAUUAUAUAGUGGCAUCACUAAAUAAUUAAAGAUUUAUCGGUAAGAGAUGAGUAUGCGUCCUAUUAGUUAGUUGGAGUGGUAACGGCACCCCAAGACAUCGAUAGGUAGGGGUCCUGAGAGGGAGAUCCCCCACACUGGUACUGAGACACGGACCAGACUCCUACGGGAGGCAGCAGUGAGGAAUAUUGGACAAUGGGAGCAAUCCUGAUCCAGCCAUGCCGCGUGCAGGAAGACUGCCCUAUGGGUUGUAAACUGCUUUUGUACGGGAAGAACCGCAACCUCGUGAGGUUGUUUGACGGUACCGUAAGAAUAAGGAUCGGCUAACUCCGUGCCAGCAGCCGCGGUAAUACGGAGGAUCCAAGCGUUAUCCGGAAUCAUUGGGUUUAAAGGGUCCGUAGGUGGAAAAUUAAGUCAGAGGUGAAAUCCUGCAGCUCAACUGUAGAAUUGCCUUUGAUACUGGUUAUCUUGAGUCAUUAUGAAGUAGUUAGAAUAUGUAGUGUAGCGGUGAAAUGCAUAGAUAUUACAUAGAAUACCAAUUGCGAAGGCAGAUUACUAAUAAUGUACUGACACUGAUGGACGAAAGCGUGGGUAGCGAAC